UUUCCCUCAGGAUAGCUGGCGCUCGCUUGAGCGAGUCUCAUCUGGUAAAGCGAAUGAUUAGAGGCCUUGGGGCCGAAACGACCUCAACCUAUUCUCAAACUUUAAAUGGGUGAGAUCUCUGGCUUGCUUGAACGUUGAAGCCACGAGAUUAAUUGCAAUGGAUCAGAGUGCCAAGUGGGCCAAUUUUGGUAAGCAGAACUGGCGCUGUGGGA
rnacentral:rRNA from 1 species